UACAGAGGUGGCAAGCGUUGUUCGGAAUUACUGGGCGUAAAGGGCGCGUAGGCGGCCUUUUUAGUCAGACGUGAAAUCCCCCGGCUUAACCUGGGAACUGCGUCUGAUACUGGAAGGCUUGAGACCGGGAGAGGUGAGUGGAAUUCCCAGUGUAGCGGUGAAAUGCGUAGAUAUUGGGAGGAACACCAGUGGCGAAGGCGGACUCACUGGCCCGAUACUGACGCUGAGGCACGAAAGCGUGGGGAGCAAACAGG
rnacentral:rRNA from 1 species